rnacentral:lncRNA from 1 species
GUCGCAACAUUAUGAAAAACAACAAAAUGCAACGUUACGGCCAUGACAUAGUCAAAAAAUAAUUUUGAUUGAAUGCAUGUGGAUCUAACAAUUAGAACAACCAAUAAAUAUGAGGUCAAACAUUUCUAUAUUCCAAUCCCAUGUGGUAGCCUGACCAAUUUUUACGGGGUUUUUAGCUGUAUACUUCAUUUUCAUUCUGGUGCCAUAUCAAAUAACUCAUCUCUAGCCAAUCAUAUAUAUUUACCUUUUCUAUACGUAUAAACUUACAUAUUCCACCGUGGCAAAAUCCAUCUUAUAGGCG